rnacentral:rRNA from 1 species
GCAACCCUUAUCCUUUGUUGCCAGCGGUCCGGCCGGGAACUCAAAGGAGACUGCCAGUGAUAAACUGGAGGAAGGUGGGGAUGACGUCAAGUCAUCAUGGCCCUUACGACCAGGGCUACACACGUGCUACAAUGGCAUAUACAAAGAGAAGCGACCUCGCGAGAGCAAGCGGACCUCAUAAAGUAUGUCGUAGUCCGGAUUGGAGUCUGCAACUCGACUCCAUGAAGUCGGAAUCGCUAGUAAUCGUAGAUCAGAAUGCUACGGUGAAUACGUUCCCGGGCCUUGUACACACCGCCCGUCACACCAUGGGAGUGGGUUGCAAAAGAAGUAGGUAGCUUAACCUUCGGGAGGGCGCUUACCACUUUUGUGAUCAUGACUGGGGUGAAGUCGUAACAAGGUAACCGUAGGGG